rnacentral:rRNA from 1 species
UGGGGAAUUUUGGACAAUGGGCGCAAGCCUGAUCCAGCCAUUCCGCGUGAGUGAAGAAGGCCUUCGGGUUGUAAAGCUCUUUCGCAAGGGAAGAAACGAUACAGACGAAUAAUCUGUGUUAAUGACGGUACCUUGAUAAGAAGCACCGGCUAACUACGUGCCAGCAGCCGCGGUAAUACGUAGGGUGCGAGCGUUAAUCGGAAUUACUGGGCGUAAAGAGCGUGUAGGCGGCGUAAUAAGUCAGAUGUGAAAGCCCUGGGCUCAACCUAGGAAGUGCAUUUGAAACUGUUAAGCUAGAGUAGGGGAGAGGGAAGUGGAAUUCCUGGUGUAGAGGUGAAAUUCGUAGAUAUCAGGAGGAACACCGGCGGCGAAGGCGACUUCCUGGACCAAUACUGACGCUGAGGCGCGAAGGCGUGGGGAGCAAACAGG